AUUGAACGCUGGCGGCAGGCCUAACACAUGCAAGUCGAGCGGAUGAAGGGAGCUUGCUCCUGGAUUCAUCGGCGGACGGGUGAGUAAUGCCUAGGAAUCUGCCUGGUAGUGGGGGAUAACGUCCGGAAACGGGCGCUAAUACUGCAUACGUCCUGAGGGAGAAAGUGGAGGAUCUUCGGACCUCACGCUAUCAUAUUAGCCUAGGUCGGAUUAGCUAGUUGGUGGGGUAAAGGCCUACCAAGGCUACGAUCCGUAACUGGUCUGAGAGGAUGAUCAGUCACACUGGAACUGAGAAAGGGUAGACACUCUGACGGGAGGACGCAGUGGGGAAUACUGGACGAGGGGCGAAAGGCUGAUCCAGGAAUGCCGCGUGUGGGAAGAAGGACUUAGGAUUGGAAAGCACUUUAAGUUGGGAGGAAGGGCAGUAAGUUAAUACCUUGCUGUUUUGACGUUACCAACAGAAUAAGCUCCGGCUAACUUCGUG
rnacentral:rRNA from 1 species